UGUUAUGUCCCACACAAGACCGCAGGUGUUUUGUGCAAAACUGAAUUAACUGGUCACUACAGCAACACGGGAACGACAAUUAUCGCCAGUCAUGACAGAACAAUAUACCGGGGGGUUCUUACCGAUGCUAUUUCUUUGCCUGCCAGCUGCUGUAAUUGAUGUAUUAACGACCACGCAAGCAGUCCAGUCGUCCUGCUUAAACCGAGUCCAAGCUUUCAUUUUCUUUAACAUGGUCGCUAUUUUAUAGUAGUAGACUGUGGGGGGAUACUUAACCAUUUGGCUGCUGUUACGGUCCUGACCGAAAAAGGGGCCCACCACCGUUACUGAAGUUGAUAUGUUUUCUGUAUUCUGAAGCUUGAAAUCCUUAGAGUGUCGUGGACGGAGAAAAAGACGAACAACUGGGUACCAGAAAAGGUUGGUUGCGAGAUGACGCUUCGGCGAAACAUCAUGAAGCGGAAGCUACGAUU
rnacentral:misc_RNA from 1 species